CCAUGGGUGACCAGACCUACAACGAGA
rnacentral:piRNA from 1 species